UACGUAGGGGGGCAAGCGUUGUCCGGAUUUAUUGGGCGUAAAGCGCGUGUAGGCGGCCAGAUAGGUCUGCUGUGAAAACUCGAGGCUCAACCUCGAGCUGUCGGCGGAAACCAUCUGGCUAGAGUCCGGAAGAGGAGAGUGGAAUUCCUGGUGUAGCGGUGAAAUGCGCAGAUAUCAGGAAGAACACCUAUGGCGAAGGCAGCUCUCUGGGACGGUACUGACGCUGAGACGCGAAAGCGUGGGGAGCGAACAGG
rnacentral:rRNA from 1 species